rnacentral:rRNA from 1 species
AUUGAACGCUGGCGGCAGGCCUAACACAUGCAAGUCGAGCGGAUGAAGGGAGCUUGCUCCUGGAUUCAGCGGCGGACGGGUGAGUAAUGCCUAGGAAUCUGCCUGGUAGUGGGGGAUAACGUCCGGAAACGGGCGCUAAUACCGCAUACGUCCUGAGGGAGAAAGUGGGGGAUCUUCGGACCUCACGCUAUCAGAUGAGCCUAGGUCGGAUUAGCUAGUUGGUGGGGUAAAGGCCUACUAAGGCGACGAUCCGUAACUGGUCUGAGAGGAUGAUCAGUCACACGGGAACUGAGACACGGUCCAGACUCCUACGGGAGGCAGCAGUGGGGAAUAUUGGACAAUGGGCGAAAGCCUGAUCCAGCCAUGCCGCGUGUGUGAAGAAGGUCUUCGGAUUGUAAAGCACUUUAAGUGGGGAGGAAGGGCAGUAAGUUAAUACCUUGCUGUUUUGACGUUACCAACAGAAUAAGCACCGGCUAACUUCGUG